rnacentral:rRNA from 1 species
CACGUAGGGCGCAAGCGUUGUCCGGAAUUAUUGGGCGUAAAGAGCUCGUAGGCGGUCUGUUGCGUCCGCUGUGAAAACUCGGGGCUUAACCCCGAGCCUGCAGUGGAUACGGGCAGACUAGAGGUAGGUAGGGGAGAAUGGAAUUCCCGGUGUAGCGGUGAAAUGCGCAGAUAUCGGGAGGAACACCGGUGGCGAAGGCGGUUCACUGGACCGGUACUGACGCUGAUGCGCGAAAGCGUGGGGAGCAAACAGG